UUACGUUGUUAUCCCUAAGGUAAUUUAAUCUUAUAAUCAAAAUAAAUGGAUCAAAAAUAUAUACAUAAAUAUAUAAAAAUAAAGAGGAGUUAAACAAUAUUCCUCCCAUCACCCCAACAAAACAAUUCACUCCCACUCAAUGUAAAUAAAACAAACAACGAACAAAUAGGAAAAUUGUCAAACUCUAUAGGGUCUUCUCGUCCCAUAAAAACAUUUAAGAAUUUUAACUCAAAAACCAAAUUCAAUAAAUCAAUACNUCUAAGACAGCUUAUGUCUCGUCAAGCCAUUCAUACCAGAUCACAAUUAAAGAACUAAUGAUUAUGCUACCUUUGCACGGUCAAAAUACCGCGGCCCUUCAACUCCAAGUCAGUGGGCAGGCCAUACUUCAAAAACUAACAAGAAAAGAUGUUUUUGAUAAACAGGCG
rnacentral:rRNA from 1 species